rnacentral:tRNA from 1 species
GCCCGCGUAGCCCAACAGCAGAGGCAACGCGUCGAGAGCGCGUCCAGUGCGGGUGCGAGUCCUGCCGCGGGCACCA